rnacentral:lncRNA from 1 species
GCCUUCCUUCUUUGUUCCUGCCCCUAUGAAUAAGAGGGAAAAAUGAAAACCAGAUGUUCCUGUAUGCACACAGAAAAGAAGACUUGGGGAAAAUGGUUGGUUGGCAGAAGAACUGGAAGUGGACUUUGGGCUGAUGAAUAACUGAAUGAGAUUUUCUGAAACUCAAUCUUGCUUUACCUUCUUUGUCAGGCUACAAGGUGGAGGCAACACACAUACUCUUGUUUGGUCUUCCCAAUAAAUAUACAAAACUAC